rnacentral:rRNA from 1 species
AUUGAACGCUGGCGGCAGGCCUAACACAUGCAAGUCGAACGAGUGGCGGACGGGUGAGUAAUGUCUGGGAAACUGCCCGAUGGAGGGGGAUAACUACUGGAAACGGUAGCUAAUACCGCAUACCAUCGGAUGUGCCCAGAUGGGAUUAGCUAGUAGGUGGGGUAACGGCUCACCUAGGCGACGAUCCCUAGCUGGUCUGAGAGGAUGACCGGCCCCACUGGAACUGGGAAACGGCCCAGACUCCUACGGGAGGCAGCAUUGGGGAAUAUUGCACAAUGGGGGCAAGCCUGAUGCAGCCAUGCCGCGUGUAUUAAGAAGGCCUUCGGGUUGUAAAGUUCUUUCAGCAAGGAGGCGUUACUCGCAGAAGAAGCACCGGCUAACUCCGUGCCAGCAGCCGCGGUAAUUC